AUGGAGGGAUGCUUCUUGCAGAUGGCGAGGUUGCCGAAGAAGGUGCCUUUUUCUGCCAUGUUGAAGGUGAGGUUGGCACCCAUGGCGUCGACGGGGAUCUGGAAGAAGUGCUUGAGCAUCUGCAGGUUGGUAGACUUGCCGAAGUUGGGUGGCGCCACUAGGACGAGCUGCUCGCGACUGUCCAAGAAGUGUUUGAUGAACUCCGUUUUAUCGACGAACGUCUCACGGCCAGCCACCUCCCGAAAGGGCCACCACCCGUCUUCUCUCUCAUCUUGGUUGUGAGGUUACGGCCUGACUCUCAAAAUCACACAAGAUAUGUUUUUGAACAAAAAUAUAUCUGGAAAAAAGUUCCCUUUUGAAAAAUGAAACUUCCCACAAUUUCGGCACCCCUAAUGAAUGUUCUUUUGCCACCACAUUCCAUUAAAAAUAUCACGUGAAUAGUAGAGAUUCCCAAGAUAAGUGAAAAUAAAUUGGAGGCCCGUUUAAAUUUAUUCAAAAAUGUGAUAUUGUCUCUUGAGAUUCACUUACCUGAAGGACAAAGCCGAUGUAAAACAGGAAUUGUAGCAUUUUUCACUAAGAAAAAUAAAUCAAUAUCAAAGUUGUUGUCCGAAACAGAGUAAACUUUCAGAAAUAGAAUGAGCCAGUUCAAAGCACAGAGAGCAAUACAAACACAACGCGAGCUAUGAUAAGACUACAAAUCGACGGUGUAAGUCGGCAAUCACAUAACUCGGUUUGCGACGCCGCAGACUUCCUGUCAAAAUUUAUUUUUUAAACAGAAAACUACUCAACGGCAAUGCUUUAAAACUGCCGUGAUUUUUCAUCUCUGUGCAAAGAAAAUUCGGCAAGAUCUUCAAGGAAUGAUGUCAAUUUGUUCUCUUUCAAAAAAAUAACAUACAGGCAGAGAUUUUCAGACACCGCAAACGAGAUAUGUCAUUGCGGACUUACGCCGUCGAAAUAUUAUGCAAGGGCACUUUACAAAGGCUGUCCCAGAAUGACCCGCACUGGUUCUGUAACUCAAAAAUUGAUCAACGGAUUGAGCUGAUCUUGGGCUCAUUUGAAUGAUAAAGUCAAAUCGAAGCAAUAGAGAAUUUGCAGGUGUCUGAAAUUUGAUGAAUUUCGUGUUUG
rnacentral:lncRNA from 1 species